UAGACAUUCACUCUAAAUAGAAUUCUAUUCUUAACACUCCCCCUUGAAUGUCUACUCAGUAAGUAAUGUGCCUCAUUAAAACCUUAACUAAAACAAAACCCAAUGGACUAGAAAAGGAAAAAGAGUACACAUAUUUAGUAAUGCGCUUAUUGGUUGCCUCGUUAAAAACCUUGCAAGGAAAACCCAGUGGGACAAAACCUUGUAAGGGAAAAAGAGUGCAACGCGCAUUAACUCCCCCU
rnacentral:lncRNA from 1 species